GCUGUGAUGGCCGAGUGGUUAAGGCUUUGCAAUGGGGUUUUGAUCCCCAAUCGCAGGUUCGAACCCUGCUCUCAGCG